CCUACGGGAGGCUGCAGUAGGGAAUAUUGCUCAAUGGGGGAAACCCUGAAGCAGCAACGCCGCGUGGAGGAUGAAGGUUUUCGGAUUGUAAACUCCUUUUGUUAGAGAAGAUAAUGACGGUAUCUAACGAAUAAGCACCGGCUAACUCCGUGCCAGCAGCCGCGGUAAUACGGAGGGUGCAAGCGUUACGCGGAAUCACUGGGCGUAAAGAGCGCGUAGGCGGGAUAGCAAGUCAGAUGUGAAAUCCUAGGGCUUAACCAUAGAACUGCAUUUGAAACUGUUAUUCUAGAGUAUGGGAGAGGUAGGUGGAAUUCUUGGUGUAGGGGUAAAAUCCGUAGAGAUCAAGAGGAACACUCAUUGCGAAGGCGACCUGCUAGAACAUAACUGACGCUGAUGCGCGAAAGCGUGGGGAGCAAACAGGAUUAGAUACCCCUGUAGUC
rnacentral:rRNA from 1 species